CAUUUUUAAAACGGUAUAAAAGGAACAAUUUAUUAAUAGAAAGUAUUUUUUUUAUGUUGUUUAUGGAGUAUAAGUCAAUUCUUACUUGGUUUUUUAUUGUUGUUAUUAAUUCCAAUAAUAUAGUAUGAACGGUGCUUAUUUUUGGUUUUUUUUGGUUUAUUAACUCUAACAGUUUUGUUAUCUAGAAACGAGAAGAAGUAAGGAAUUUUUAAUUGCUUAACUAUUAUCGCUUUCAUAUAAUUGCACAUUAUUGUAUGACGUUGUUAAUUUUGUAGUAUCUAUAGCGUAAUUUAGUUUGCUUUUUUUUGGCUCUCUACAGAGAACAGCUGAUGGGAAGACAAAACUAUAUGUAAAUAUUACCUUUUCUCGAUAACAGAUAGGCUUUAUUUUGUCAUAAUAAGAGAAUAAGAAUGAGUGUGAACGAAAAAGACAGCUAACAACUAAUUGUAUAUCGUGUAUAAUCUUAUUAAGUAUAGUCUAUAUAUAAGAAAAGCUUAGUUAUGAGUUAUGAAAGGUGUUUUUUUUAACAAAUACUUCUUCAGAAUCUCCUAUCAGGAUCCGGAUGAAGAAACUAAGGAAAACGAAAAAGCAUAUAUCCGAAGUUUAAAGAUGAAUCUUGAAACUCAACAAUCGAGUCAUAUUCCAGUUGUUAAACUACGUCAUACCGAAGAUGACUCUGUUCCUGCAAUCGUUCUUCCUUCUCCUAUUUUUCAUCCAGAUAAAGAUAGUGAAGCUUAAAUAGUAGCUUGUAAUGAAACCAGUAGUUUUAUGUUUGCAAUUGUUAACAGGAAUAUUUUUGAGUUCUCCCUGAAAAAUUGAAAUUAUUUCCAAUGAUGUUUUUUUGUCUUUUACAUCUUGUACUUUUAUAUUCCUUGCUUAUGUUGAAAGAAAUUGACAUGACAAAAAUAAAUGUAAUAGAUGGCGCUGUAUAAGUGCGCAAGUUUGUUUCUUAAAAGAAUUGGUGACAAUCGUUUCUAGGUAACGAAAUUUCUAAGUGGUCUAAACGAAGAAUAGGACACCUGUUAACUAACUUCAAAGAAAUUUGUAAGACCAUUUAUGAGGGCCUUGUUAAUUGGUAACAUACGUUAUAAAAACUGCGCAUGCGCGUCGAACUAACAGCGUGGGGUGCGCAGCGGGGUGGAGAUAUCCCACUGGGAGUUGGCCCUGGCGUGGCCGAACGCUGCAGUUGUUUAGAAGAUUCUACGGCGGUCGGUUAUGUCUAGGAGGAAACAGGCCAGACCUAAGGCUCUACACCGGAAAUCUACCGACAAACCUCCUCGUCUCGACUGCGAAUUAUGUGAGAGAAACUUUAGUGAAGAAAGUGACUUCGACAAACACCGGACGGUUCAUUCGAGGAAGGAUGGAGUUUACAGCUGUUCCUAUUGUUCGGCUCGUUUUAAGAGGUAUAUGUAUAUAGAAUUUUUACCUCAGGGAAUACGGAUCCCUGUGGAGUCGUACGUCUUCCCAACGCCACCUAGGACGGUCGUCUACCGCCAGUCUAUUGGACGCCGACAGUUGGCAUUAGUGAGAUGGAUGCGCGAGUCGAGGGACGCUAAGUAGAUGCCGUUCUACAUUUUAAGCUCUUUUAAGGUCACGCGACUCGCUUUUUAACAACGGCUUAGUUUAGUAGAAAGGGUGGGUGGCGGUGUGGAGACGUAACAAUUUUAUCCCAUAUUUCCCAUGAUCGACCACUUUUAUUCGUCUAAGGAGAGUUGCAAAGUUUACUUUAUUUAAGAAAGGCGACACCUUACGUCUUGUGCGAUCACUAGGGUGUGGCUUUUUGUCUUACAUCGUUGGGUGCAGACCUCCCAUUGGUUUCUACAAGCGUUUAUAUGUGUAAACUUGCUCAACUAACAGAUGCGAUCAACUUUCCGCGCACGUUCGUUCGCACGACAAAUCUCGACCAUAUACAUGCUCCAGAUGCGCUUCUUCUUUUCCAACCUUGUCGACUUUUUCUACGCAUAUAACUUCGCAACAUGCCGAUUUCUUUCCGGUGGAUAUAUGCCCGAUCUGUGAGGACUUCUUUGAAGACUUAGAAAACCAUUUCUAUUCGCACGACCCGCCUUCUGCUCGGGCGAACGAUCGAUGGCGAUCAACUUACGAAUGCCCUUAUAAGCUUUGUCAAAAGAAGAACUUUGUAAAUCAGAAAGUAUUGGAUAUUCACAUUCAUACAAUGCACGGUCAAGGUGGACAAGCAUAUGUUUGCGAGCUAUGUGAUGCUGUGUUUCCUACAUUUUUUGAACUAGAUGAACAUUCGAAAGAGGAGCAUAGCAAGGUAGAACGAAAUGAUUCGAAUACAAUGUAUUGCUCGCAUUGUGCCAAAGCCUUUCCAAACAAUCACGCUUUGGCAGAACAUGUAAGGGAGUCACAUGGAAUUUUUAUGAGUUUAAAAAGUGAAAUUCUUAGUCCACCUAAUAUCGAGUCAGAAGAGUCUAAGACUGUCGAAUAUCCUUGUUCCUCCUGUAACCAAGUUUUCUCUUCUGUUGAUCUACUUAAUGAUCACCAAUUAGACAAACAUACAGAAGUACUCUACAGGUGCGGAUUUUGUAAAGAGACUUUAGACUCUAAAGUAGGCUUACGCGUUCAUUUUUCAAUGAAUCAUUCGAAUGAACAGCGUUCUUAUAAAUGCACCGAUUGUUCAGCGGCGUUCACAACUGAGAUUUUAUGGCAAAUGCAUAUGAGACGUCACAAUUCAAAGCCCUACAGGUGCCUUCUUUGUGAUGAAACUUACGCCACGGAAAGAGAAUUGGAAGUUCAUUCGGUCACUCAUAAGAAGACAGUCAAGUGUCCCAUUUGCGAGGAAGCAUUCCAUGUUGAGUACCUGCUAGAUCUUCAUCUUCAGACAGCCCAUUUCCCUGUCGCCCCAUCUCCUGCUAAAAGAUCAAAGAAGGAAAGAACCAAAUGUGAGAUUUGCGAUGUUCGUUUUCCAGAUGAAUUAGCACUCGUUCGCCACAGAAGAAUAGAACAUAAACUCGCUUCAUCUGUUUCUCCAUCAACGUUAAAAUGCGUCUACUGUCAAACUGAAUGCUUUAAUUCUUCCGAAUUAGAAUUUCAUAUACAAGAAAAACAUGCUCCGCCGCCUAUAGUUGCUCACAAAUGUAAUAUUUGUGACAAACUCCUGCCCUCUUCUACUUCACUAGUUCAGCAUAAACUUAGCCACGUGACACUUCCGUCCCGCCUCACUUGUUUCGUGUGCCAAGCCUCUAUCGCCGAAAAAGGAGAUUUUCUUAAUCAUUCAAGAGAUCAUUCCGUGAUUGGGAGUAAAUGUCUUGUUUGUAGGCAGGCGGUCAAUUCCACAGAAGAACUUCGAUUACAUUCUCAACAUCACUUUCCGGAAGAGAAAUGUUCCAGGUGUCAUAUUACUCCGACCAAUACCGAACCUUCAUCACCGAACGAGAUGUAUUCUUCGCAAAAUCGAACAAAUGAUAAAUCUAAAGUUUGUUCGUCCUGCCUAAUGCAACCGGAGAAAAAGAACAGUCAAUUACCAAAAGCCUAUCAAUGCAUAAAAUGUCAACAGUCAUUUCUUUCGGAAUCGGAGAUCCAAGCUCAUGUCGCCACUCACAUGCUGAAUGAAUCAAAUGUUCACGAAUGCAGACUUUGUUGGAAGAAUUUUGAUACUCCAGCACGUUUACAGUGCCACUUAAUAGAACAUUCUUAUGAUCAGGGUAAACCUUUUGAAUGCUACGUCUGUGGUAAGAUACUACCUUCAUCGGCGGGUAUACAACAGCACGUUUUAGAGCAUUCUGUCGGUUCAAGAAAGUAUUCAUGUUCAAGCUGCUCAAACGUCUACUUUUUUAGCGCUGAAUUAGAAAAUCACAAGAUAAGUCAUCAUUCGCAGAUGACAAACUCUCCAACUCCUUCACAGUGUCGUUGUCCCGUUUGUGGUAUUAUGUACGAGAGUUCAGCAAUUCUUCAUCAGCACGUUCUCGACUCUCACAGUAGCUCGAGUAAGAAGAACGAACAAUUGGAAUGCGGAGAGUGUAGGAGAACAUUUGCUUGUCAGGCAGCACUUAUCUCACAUUCCAAGUCUCACAAAUUUGGUAAAGAAAACAAAAUGGCCUCACAAACUAAUAAACCAUUUUCAUGUUCUAUAUGCUCUAAAAAUUUUACUAAAAAAUCUCAAGUACGGGAACACAUGAAAGUUCAUUACAGCCAAACAGUAUUUACAUGUCCCCAAUGUAGUGCCAUCUUUCGGGAAGCUGACGAAUUACGACUUCACUCCAACUCAGUUCAUUAUUUGGAUGAUUCGUGCUCAUUAUGCCAGCGUUCAUUCGCCGAUUCUCAGGAAUAUCGGUAAGCGGAUAUUUAAUUAUCUUAUGUAGUAAAUAAACGAGAUUACACUAGAUGGCGUUAUUUUUUCUUUACAGGGAUCAUAUGUUGCACAGUCAUAGAAUCAGUUUAAACGGUGUGGAAGAAGGAAUGAAAUUAGAAAUUCCAGACAUUAACGUCACAGAUUAAUUUUUGACGAAUUGUUUUGUGUCCCUUCCAUGUCUUUUUUCCUGUCGCCAUAUAAUAAAAAACAAAAAAUGUCUCUACUG
rnacentral:misc_RNA from 1 species